GGGAAAUGGAAAGGUGAAGACAAGAUCUCCACGACACCGCAUCCUGUUGCCAAGUUCAUCUUUGAUUGGUUUGCGACUUCACAUGCCAGCGAUAGUGAGAUGACCGUGUUACCAGAGAUCAAGAAUAAGGAACUAUGGGUUCACAAGACCAUAAGUUUACUAUUGUUGGUGAAAUAGUAUCCCUCAGUUACUCUCAUAGUUUCAUGCUUAGGGGUUCGAUCAUCCGCGGGGAUACUUAUAUAUACUUUGAAGUUUGAACCUUCUGCUACA